rnacentral:rRNA from 1 species
AGUGAACGCUGGCGGUAGGCCUAACACAUGCAAGUCGAACGGCAGCACAGUAAGAGCUUGCUCUUACGGGUGGCGAGUGGCGGACGGAUGAGGAAUACAUCGGAAUCUACUUUUUCGUGGGGGAUAACGUAGGGAAACUUACGCUAAUACCGCAUACGACCUACGGGUGAAAGCAGGGGAUCUUCGGACCUUGCGCGAUUGAAUGAGCCGAUGUCGGAUUAGCUAGUUGGCGGGGUAAAGGCCCACCAAGGCGACGAUCCGUAGCUGGUCUGAGAGGAUGAUCAGCCACACUGGAACUGAGACACGGUCCAGACUCCUACGGGAGGCAGCAGUGGGGAAUAUUGGACAAUGGGCGAAAGCCUGAUCCAGCCAUACCGCGUGGGUGAAGAAGGCCUUCGGGUUGUAAAGCCCUUUUGUUGGGAAAGAAAAGCAGCAGGUUAAUACCCCGCUGUUCUGACGGUACCCAAAGAAUAAGCACCGGCUAACUUCGUG